GGGAAAUAUACAUAUCACACAGAAAUAUUUUAUAUGUUUUGUAUACACAUACACGAAAUUAUCACCUGCAAUAUCAAAACAAAUCUGUGUAUAUUGAAGCCUAACAACGUGAUGAAACAAAAUUUUAUUUAUGCCACAAUUUUUUGAGAAACAAGGAGAAAAGAAUAUCACUGCAGUGCACGAAAGGUUUCCAGUAGUCUCAGUCUUUUCUGUCAGACAGUAUAUAAUAUAAACCAUACACUAUACAAGGGAAGGCAUUAAAUAAGUUUGGCACUACUGAGAUUUGAACGGUGGGAAAUCACCAUUUUUAUGUCCAAAUGGAACAAUAUUUAAUCAAGUUGCACUAACAUGUGAUUGGUGGUUUAAUAUAAAAUGUGAGUCAACAACACAACUCUAUGUAUAUUAAAUGAAGGACUUUAUAAAUAUAUUUUACCAAUAAUGCCAAAAUUUCCCGAGGAUUUCACUGGACCGGAAGUUGAUAGAUAUUUAGAGGAGAAAUUCAAAGAAAUUGUAACAAAAUUACAGUAAGGGUUGUCACGGGUCACGGAAAUCAGGGAAUUUUAUUAAAAGUACUGCGGCAAAGUAUCGAAUUUCUAAAAACAGGCAAG